AGUCAUUCCAGUUGCAGAGAUAAAAGAGUUUGAACCUCUACAAAAAUUACAGAACCAAAUUGUUGAAAAGCGGUGAUGCCGAAAAAGUAUACUUAGUUAAUAAAGGCGCGAUAAACAUUCGCCAUAACAUAGAAAAAGAGGAUGUUUAUUACAAUGAAAAAUUAGAAAAAACUUUCGACAGUAAUUACCGUCGUAUAGCAACUUUAAUUUCGAGAAAACCGAUUACUGAAGACUACAUCAGUUUGUACAGAAACAUAAAUGAAAUUGAUGCGAAUAAGUGUUAUACAUCUGAUGGAAAUGAAUUGUUAAAAACUUGAUAAGUCCUUGUUUGAGCAUGAAUUUCACUGGUAUAAUGAAUUCUAAUAUUCACGAUCCAGCUUUUUUCUGUUCUUGGUUAGAGUAUGAUUCUAUAAAUAGCAAUGUAGUUGUUUGUGAUGCAAAAAAUUCUUCAAGAAAAAUUUUUUUAGGAAUACUGUCGUUACACAGGAGCUCAGAUGAUUAUGUCGAAUGGAUUGGAGUCGAAAAUGUCGCGGAUUUGCAAGAAAAAAUUAAUGAAAAA